GUGCUCGCUUCUGCAGCACAUAUACUAAAAUUGGAACAAUACAAAGAAGAUUAGGAUGGCCCCUGUGCAAGGAUGACACCUAAAUUUGUGAAACGUUCCAUAUUUUU